rnacentral:lncRNA from 1 species
AGACCCGGCUUUUUCGACGCCGAGCUGCCGCCCAGCCCCAAUGGCAGGGCCUUCCAGGGAGUCCCAGUCAGACUGCUCCCCAGCUCCCGCAGCUGCUCGGUCCCUGCAAAGCCCCCGGGAGCGUUUCUACUCUCCCCUGAGCCCACGCCAUCCCGUCACUCCUAGGAAACUUUUCGCGCAGAAACUCCUGGAGAACAGCCCCGGCCGCCAGGUACUCGCCCGCCCGGACCGCAAAGCCCACAGAGCUUCAAUUCGCAGGAAGGGGAGUGGGGAGCCCUGAGCUGGGGUGUUCCUGGAAGAGGUCGGGGAGCGGGGGGAGAGGCAUUCCAGGCUGGAGGCCUGGAAACGUUUGGAAGCUUUGCUAACCUUGGAGACCAUGUCAGGAAAGAAGCGUACCCAGGCCGUCUGCUGUGUGCCCACCCCGAUCCCCAUCAGUGCCCCACGCACUCGAGCUCUUCUUCGGCGUCUGCAGCCUCUUCAUCCGCGCGGAGAGGCGGAGGUCUCCCGGAAACAGUGUCCGACUGUGGCACCCCAGAGCGUCCAAUGCGAGCUCAGGCCUUUCCCGCAAGUCUGGAGUUUUCUUAUCCAGUUGAGGCCGCCUUCGCUGUACUCACUCUCUGCCUCCCACCCCAUCUUCUGCCACCCGACCUCCAUCUUUGAUGGUUAGCGCCUUCAGCCCUCAACAGCUUCGCACAACCAACCCCUAGAAGCCGUGGAGUCAGACCGGCCAGGGUGGGACCUAGGUUUUAACUCGGGUUCUGGCUACACACGCUGCGCCUCCAUACAGUUUGUCCCAGGUUUGGCAGCAGGCCGGCUACCUUCAGGAAUUCUUUGCUUUGGCUUCUGUCUGUUCCUGUCUGUUGGGCAAGUUUCUAGCUACCCCACUGAGAGAACCAUAGAACAAGGACCCUGGCAUGGCAUACAGACAAGGAAUGUUUGCUGAAUUAAUGGAGCUGGUGCCUUGCAGCUUCCCUUUUGUUCCUUGAAGUUGCCCUUGCUCUCCUCCACAUCAGCUCCCUCUCCUCCUCAGCUACUUAUUCCCCACCCUGGCUUCUUCUAGUCGCAGUCCCCAAGUACUUGCUGAAUCCUGUAUGGACAGCCUAAGCCUCCAUUUCUGACAAUUCCUGUGGCCCCACUCCAUUUGUUUUUUAGACUUCUCCCUCCUUUUUGUCCCCAUCCCCCAAGUUAUAAAACUAUAAUG